rnacentral:tRNA from 1 species
CAUCAAGAAGCUAAAUUAGCGUUAACCUUUUAAGUUAAAGACUGAGAACAUAGUAGUCUCCUUGAUGA